rnacentral:lncRNA from 10 species
UCACAGUCUGAUUCUGUUUCCUUCACUUCUGUCUUGGGAAAAAAGAGUAUCAGAGAACACAAACAGCUUGGGCUGAUAUAGAAAAAACAAAGGCAAGAUGACCACCUAAGAAACAGCCUGGACAAGUGUGAGUGCCAGAGUAGCAGCACACGUCUGCGACAUUCUCACAGCACACACUGUGAGAAUGGCACCUGCGCAGAUACUAAUCUCAAGCCAUCCGCAGCGUGUCCCUGGUAAAAAGAAAAGAAAACCAUAAGAGUUCUAAAAGAAAAUGAGAAAAGAAUAUUUGCCCAAUUGCCUUGGUGUUUGGUUUGAAAUGAAUAAAUAGUUUUGAUGAAAUUUCAUCAUUAGAAUGUAAGCUCCAUGAGGGUAAGAAACUUAAUCUGUCAUGCUUACUACACGAUCACCAGCAACUAGAAUGUUUUUGUUUAAUGUUCACUCAGAGUUAGUGACCAUUUAACAUAUGAGAGCUAUGCACUAGAUACAUAAAAGUUUAUUCAUUCAUUCAUUCUUCCAUUUAGCAUAUAUUUAUUUAGAACCUACCAAGUCUACAUGGACGACUGACUGAAUGAAUGUAAGAAUUAAUGAAGUUUUCUCGAUAUCAGAAUUUAGUAGGUUUUGUAUUUCAAUUUACUGAUACUUUGAACUAGUUAGGCUCAAAGUCUG